GUCUGCAGCUAGACCCCUCUCAACAUUCUAGUAAAAACCAUUACUGUUUAUCAGUUGCAUAUGAUAUGAUAUGAGGGCCUAUGCGCCAUUAUUCAACCUUUACACCUCAAAGAUUCAGCAGUGGCUUGUGUAUGACACAAUGCAAACCACCACCAGUUGUCUGAGCUUGAAUACUAGUGCAUAUGGCCUGAUGAUCAAAAACUCGGCGGUAUCGAAAGGAAUCACGCAGAAUCUUUGGGAGCCUUUUUUUAACAUUAUAAUGUAAUGUAUGUCUCUGUCCUUAACAUCCAGAACGCUGCAUAGCAAGAUAAACAGCUCUUAAUAAAAAAAUGUGCCUUUCUAAGAAA